rnacentral:rRNA from 1 species
UUAAUUGAAGAGUUUGAUCAUGGCUCAGAUUGAACGCUGGCGGCAGGCCUAACACAUGCAAGUCGAGCGGCAGCACAGAGGAACUUGUUCCUUGGGUGGCGAGCGGCGGACGGGUGAGUAAUGCCUGGGAAAUUGCCCGGUAGAGGGGGAUAACCAUUGGAAACGAUGGCUAAUACCGCAUAACCUCGCAAGAGCAAAGCAGGGGACCUUCGGGCCUUGCGCUACCGGAUAUGCCCAGGUGGGAUUAGCUAGUUGGUGAGGUAAGGGCUCACCAAGGCGACGAUCCCUAGCUGGUCUGAGAGGAUGAUCAGCCACACUGGAACUGAGACACGGUCCAGACUCCUACGGGAGGCAGCAGUGGGGAAUAUUGCACAAUGGGCGCAAGCCUGAUGCAGCCAUGCCGCGUGUAUGAAGAAGGCCUUCGGGUUGUAAAGUACUUUCAGUAGGGAGGAAGGUGGUUA